GACGAACGCUGGCGGCGUGCUUAACACAUGCAAGUCGAACGGAAAGGCCCUGCUUUUGUGGGGUGCUCGAGUGGCGAACGGGUGAGUAACACGUGAGUAACCUGCCCUUGACUUCGGGAUAACUUCAGGAAACUGGGGCUAUAACCGGAUAGGAGCUCCUGCUGCACGGGGGGGGUUGGAAAGUUUCGGCGGUUGGGGAUGAACUGGCGGCUUAUCAGCUUGUUGGUGGGGUAGUGGCUUACCAAGGCUUUGACGGGUAGCCGGCCUGAGAGGGUGACCGGCCACAUUGGGACUGAGGUACGGCCCAGACGCCUACGGGAGGAAGCAGUGGGGAAUAUUGCACAAUGGGCGGAAGCCUGAUGCAGCAACGCCGCGUGCGGGAUGACGGCCUUCGGGUUGUAAACCGCUUUCGCCUGUGACGAAGCGUGAGUGACGGUAAUGGGUAAAGAAGCACCGGCUAACUACGUG
rnacentral:rRNA from 1 species